AGGGCGCACGGUGGAUGCCUUGGCACUAGGAGCCGACGAAGGACGUGACAAACGACGAUAUACCUUGGGUAGCUGUAAGUAAGCGAUGAUCCAGGGAUUUCCGAAUGGGGGAACCCAACAGGUAAUACCUGUUACCCACAUCUGUUAAGGAUGUGAGGAGGAAGACGCAGUGAACUGAAACAUCUAAGUAGCUGCAGGAAGAGAAAGCAAAAGCGAUUGCCUUAGUAGCGGCGAGCGAAACGGCAGAAGGGCAAACCGAAGAGUUUACUCUUCGGGGUUGUAGGACUGCAAUGUGGACUCAAAGAUUAUAGAAGAAUGAUUUGGGAAGAUCAGCCAAAGAGAGUAAUAGCCUCGUAUUUAAAAUAGUCUUUGUACCUAGCAGUAUCCUGAGUACGGCGGGACACGUGAAAUCCCGUCGGAAUCUGGGAGGACCAUCUCCCAACCCUAAAUACUCCCUAGUGACCGAUAGUGAACCAGUACCGUGAGGGAAAGGUGAAAAGCACCCCGGGAGGGGAGUGAAAUAGAACCUGAAACCGUGUGCCUACAACAAGUUCGAGCCCGUUAAUGGGUGAGAGCGUGCCUUUUGUAGAAUGAACCGGCGAGUUACGUUAUGAUGCGAGGUUAAGUUGAAGAGACGGAGCCGUAGGGAAACCGAGUCUGAACAGGGCGAAUUAGUAUCAUGACGUAGACCCGAAACCAUGUGACCUACCCAUGAGCAGGUUGAAGGUGCGGUAAGACGCACUGGAGGACCGAACCAGGGCACGUUGAAAAGUGCUUGGAUGACUUGUGGGUAGCGGAGAAAUUCCAAACGAACUUGGAGAUAGCUGGUUCUCUCCGAAAUAGCUUUAGGGCUAGCGUCGACAUUAGAGAUUCUUGGAGGUAGAGCACUGUUUGGGUGAGGGGUCCAUCCCGGAUUACCAAUCUCAGAUAAACUCCGAAUGCCAAUGAAUUAUGGUCGGCAGUCAGACUGCGAGUGCUAAGAUCCGUAGUCGAAAGGGAAACAGCCCAGACCACCAGCUAAGGUCCCAAAAUAAUUGUUAAGUGGAAAAGGAUGUGGGGUUGCACAGACAACUAGGAUGUUAGCUUAGAAGCAGCUAUUCAUUCAAAGAGUGCGUAAUAGCUCACUAGUCGAGUGACCCUGCGCCGAAAAUGUACCGGGGCUAAAACAAUUUACCGAAGCUGUGGAUACCUUUAUAGGUAUGGUAGGAGAGCGUUCUAUGUGUGAUGAAGGUAUACCGUGAGGAGUGCUGGAACGCAUAGAAGUGAGAAUGCCGGUAUGAGUAGCGAAAGACAGGUGAGAAUCCUGUCCACCGUAAGACUAAGGUUUCCAGGGGAAGGCUCGUCCGCCCUGGGUUAGUCGGGACCUAAGGAGAGACCGAAAGGUGUAUCCGAUGGACAACAGGUUGAUAUUCCUGUACUAGAGUAUGUAGUGAUGGAGGGACGCAGUAGGCUAACUAAAGCAGUACGAUUGGAAGAGUCUGUCUAAGCAGUGAGGUGUGAAUUGAGUCAAAUGCUUAAUUCUAUAACAUUGAGCUGUGAUGGGGAGCGAAGUUUAGUAGCGAAGUUAGUGACGUCACACUGCCAAGAAAAGCUUCUAGCGUUUAAACAUACUCUACCCGUACCGCAAACCGACACAGGUAGUCGAGGCGAGUAGCCUCAGGUGAGCGAGAGAACUCUCGUUAAGGAACUCGGCAAAAUGACCCCGUAACUUCGGGAGAAGGGGUGCUGACUUUAGGUCAGCCGCAGUGAAUAGGCCCAAGCAACUGUUUAUCAAAAACACAGCUCUCUGCUAAAUCGUAAGAUGAUGUAUAGGGGGUGACGCCUGCCCGGUGCUGGAAGGUUAAGAGGAGUGCUUAGCGUAAGCGAAGGUAUGAAUUGAAGCCCCAGUAAACGGCGGCCGUAACUAUAACGGUCCUAAGGUAGCGAAAUUCCUUGUCGGGUAAGUUCCGACCCGCACGAAAGGCGUAAUGAUUUGGGCACUGUCUCAACGAGAGACUCGGUGAAAUUUUAGUACCUGUGAAGAUGCAGGUUACCCGCGACAGGACGGAAAGACCCCAUGGAGCUUUACUG
rnacentral:rRNA from 1 species